rnacentral:lncRNA from 1 species
GAUGGUGAUGAUGGUCUUUAUUGAAGCAUCUGAAGAUGGAGCAUUCAGCCAGUCGGGAGUGUCUUGAGAUCCUGAGCAGCCAAGAAAUCCUAGGGCCUUCUCUUGUAUCUUUUCCAUGCUGAAAAACACAAAACCCCGAAAUGGGUGAAGAAGGAAAUGCUCAUCUUGACGAGUGGGGGAGAUGAAGUCAUGAGAUCAUAAAUGCCAGACUGUCUAAGUGCAGGGAGUAAACUGUCCUGCUGAGCCCACAGGCCCCUGGGACAGCCUGUUGGUCUGCACUGCACUCCGGGAAACAUGCACCGCAUUCGCAGGUUUAUAUCAGUGGUCCUCAACCCUGUUGCCCAUGAGAAGAUUCUACUUCAUUGAUCUGAGGUGAACCGUGCACACUGGCAUUUUCUUAAAAUUCCCCAAGGAUUAUAAUGUAAAACCAGGAUUGAGAACUUCUGGUUGGGGGAAGGUCUCCCUGUGAAUAAAUCACAAACGGCUGGCGACAA